rnacentral:rRNA from 1 species
UAGCAUACUCAUUUGACGUUAGCUGCAGAAGAAGCACCGGCUAACUCCGUGCCAGCAGCCGCGGUAAUACGGAGGGUGCGAGCGUUAAUCGGAAUUACUGGGCGUAAAGCGCAUGCAGGUGGUUUGUUAAGUCAGAUGUGAAAAGCCCAGGGCUCAACCUCGGAAUUGCAUUGAAACUGGCAAACUAGAGUACUGUAGAGGGGGGUAGAAUUUCAGGUGUAGCGGUGAAAUGCGUAGAGAUCUGAAGGAAUACCGGUGGCGAAGGCGGCCCCCUGGACAGAUACUGACACUCAGAUGCGAAAGCGUGGGGAGCAAACAGGAUUAGAUACCCUGGUAG